CCUACGGGAGGCAGCAGUGGGGAAUAUUGGGCAAUGGGCGCAAGCCUGACCCAGCAACGCCGCGUGAAGGAAGAAGGCUUUCGGGUUGUAAACUUCUUUUAAGAGGGAAGAGCAGAAGACGGUACCUCUUGAAUAAGCCACGGCUAACUACGUGCCAGCAGCCGCGGUAAUACGUGGGUGGCAAGCGUUGUCCGGAUUUACUGGGUGUAAAGGGCGUGCAGCCGGGAAGACAAGUCAGAUGUGAAAUCCCGGGGCUCAACCGCGGAACUGCAUUUGAAACUGUUUUUCUUGAGUACCGGAGAGGUCAUCGGAAUUCCUGGUGUAGCGGUGAAAUGCGUAGAUAUAAGGAAGAACACCAGUGGCGAAGGCGGAUGACUGGACGGCAACUGACGGUGAGGCGCGAAGGCGUGGGGAGCAAACAGGAUUAGAUACCCCUGUAGUC
rnacentral:rRNA from 1 species